GGGAUAUUGGACAAUGGGGGGAACCCUGAUCCAGCGACGCCGCGUGAGUGAAGAAGUAUUUCGGUAUGUAAAGCUCUAUCAGCAGGGAAGAAAAGAAUGACGGUACUUGAAUAAGAAGCCCCGGCUAACUACGUGCCAGCAGCCGCGGUAAUACGUAGGGGGCAAGCGUUAUCCGGAUUUACUGGGUGUAAAGGGAGCGCAGACGGCAAUGCAAGCCUGGAGUGAAAGGCGGGGGCCCAACCCCCGGACUGCUCUGGGAACUGUAUAGCUAGAGUGCAGGAGAGGCGAGUGGAAUUCCUAGUGUAGCGGUGAAAUGCGUAGAUAUUAGGAGGAACACCAGUGGCGAAGGCGGCUUGCUGGACCGUAACUGACGUUGAGGCUCGAAAGCGUGGGGAGCAAACA
rnacentral:rRNA from 1 species